UGUUCCUACGGGACGCAGCAGUGAGGAAUAUUGGUCAAUGGGCGCGAGCCUCAACCAGCCAAGUCGCGUGAGGGAAGACGGUCCUAUGGAUUGUAAACCUCUUUUGUCGGGGAGCAAAAGACGCCACGCGUGGCGUUCCGAGAGUACUCGAAGAAAAAGCAUCGGCUAACUCCGUGCCAGCAGCCGCGGUAAUACGGAGGAUGCGAGCGUUAUCCGGAUUUAUUGGGUUUAAAGGGUGCGUAGGCGGAAGGUUAAGUCAGCGGUCAAAUGUCGGUGCUCAACACCGCCCUGCCGUUGAAACUGGU
rnacentral:rRNA from 1 species